AGUGAACGCUGGCGGUAGGCCUAACACAUGCAAGUCGAACGGCAGCACAGUAAGAGCUUGCUCUUACGGGUGGCGAGUGGCGGACGGGUGAGGAACACAUCGGAAUCUACUUUUUCGUGGGGGAUAACGUAGGGAAACUUACGCUAAUACCGCAUACGACCUACGGGUGAAAGCAGGGGAUCUUCGGACCUUGCGCGAUUGAAUGAGCCGAUGUCGGAUUAGCUAGUUGGCGGGGUAAAGGCCCACCAAGGCGACGAUCCGUAGCUGGUCUGAGAGGAUGAUCAGCCACACUGGAACUGAGACACGGUCCAGACUCCUACGGGAGGCAGCAGUGGGGAAUAUUGGACAAUGGGCGCAAGCCUGAUCCAGCCAUACCGCGUGGGUGAAGAAGGCCUUCGGGUUGUAAAGCCCUUUCGUUGGGAAAGAAAAGCAGCAGGUUAAUACCCCGCUGUUCUGACGGUACCCAAAGAAUAAGCACCGGCUAACUUCGUG
rnacentral:rRNA from 1 species